rnacentral:lncRNA from 1 species
UCUGGGAGCUGUGGCAGGCAUGCCUGCCACACCAUGCAGCGUUUCUGCAGGCGAGGAGGCCUUUGAGAGGCCUGGAUAAUGGCUAAUAGUGCUGUUUUCCUCUGCUCUGCUUUCCUUCAAGUGAAUUACCAGGGUCUUGCUGGGAAUUAUCCUGCCAUUACCCAGCGCUCUGGGGAGCUGCCAGUGAUUUACUUAACAGCAAACAACACAAAGAGCCGGACACGGCGGGAGCUACACAAGCUGGGGAACGUGCAAGUGGAGUUCAGCCACAGCCAAAACAGCCGCGGAUAAAUUCCAGCACCCAAAUUCACAUCCUGGGGCAAAGCCUGUGCAGUUCAGCUGGGGAAUGGGAGCAGAUCCUGGCUGUGCUAAAGGAGCAGACCUCAGUCAGGGCAUGCUUGCUGCAGGAUGUGUGGGGUGCAGAAAGCAUUGGUGGGGACCCAUUGUCCCAGCCAGAGUGGACACGGCAUCUCUAGGGAGGGCCAGGAUGAUUUACAUCUCCAGACCCUAACCAAGGGCAUGUGAGGGGAGUUAAACAGCAGAUCCACAGGGGCUUGGCUGCCUCAUGUCUGCUGCAUCCUUCAGCACCCACUGCCCAGUCUGUGGAAGCUCUCAGCUGUGGAUUUUGAGUGUCCAGCCCAAGUGCUUCAUGAAUCUCACCUAGGCCCUCAUUGUGGGGCAGAAGUCAUCAGGGUCCCCAUUGCACCAAGGUGGCAAAAGUCCUUGAGCUGAGCUGCUGCAGGUGAGCAAUGUCCUCCUCAAACUGUGUCCCCAUCCCCUGAGUCACCUGGCUAGGGAGAGGGACUAUCAGUGUCCCAAAGCCUGCCUGGCUCUGCGUGGGAGAUACCUGCAAGGUGGGGCAGAAGCUGUAGGGAGACAAGAGGGACACAGUUUAGUGGUGGCUGUUCCUUGUCAUAUCCUCUUGGGACCCUGGGGAGGAUGAGGGCAGGCAGGGAUGGUGGCAUCUGCUGGAGGUGGGUCCCGCCUGGAGGCUUUCAUAGCAAGGAGUCCUGGCUUCAGUCUUCCCUGGCAGAUGGGAAAUACAGGAGAUAGGAAGCAAAACCAUUAGAAGGAAUAAUUUCCUCAAUAGCAGCCAGCAGUCCAUGACAGAGCUGUGACAUCCAACACUGGUGCUGCCCAGUUGUCUUUGCUGCUGUCUGUGGGCACCCUCCCAGCCUGGACUGUCCAGGAGCUGCCAUGUCCCACUCUGGUGGCUUUGCUACCCUGCAGUGCCAGUGCCUGGGACAGCAGUGCCACAUAGGGUUGGAAGUAACUACCCCAGCACUUCCAA